UCCAAUUGAUGAUUAAAGGAAAAACAUGAAGAAAAUGCUAGGCUUUUCCCUAGCCUUAGCUAAGAGAGAUUUAGCUAUCCAUAUGAGAUGCAAGCAUUUUUAUAAAAGGGAUUAGCAUAGAAUAAAUAAAAUAAAGCAUAAAUCCCCUUUAUAGUUUUUUCUUCUUUCUUCUCUUAAGAAAACAGGGCACUCUAUUUUUUCUCUCCCGAUGACGCUUUCUCCCCUCCGUGGCCUGGCUGGAUGGAUCCGCGGCUUCUUCUCCUCUCUCGUCCGGCUGAGAAGAUGGAUCGGAAGAGGAGUUAAGAUGUUUUUCUUGCUGGUUCCCUUGGCCUCUUCCUCCUUCGUCGCACGCUGAUCUCCUCCUCCCUUUGGUUCCACCGGAUGCCUUCCUCCUUCCUCCACCGGAUGCCGCUCAGACUUGGAUGGAUCCAGCCGGCUGCCCUCCCUUUACUGCUGUCUCCUCCCCUAUGCCCUCCCCUUCCGUGUGGUUGCUCCCUUUUAUAAACAUCUUCGGCGUGGCUGGGAAGACCGAAGGACGCUGGAAGAUUUUGUUGCGGACGCUUAGGAACUGGGAGCGGAUGAGACGCGGGAUGGAAUGAAGAGCCUGUUUGCAUUUGCUGGGAGGUUAAGAAACCAUGCGGCUGUUUGGAAGUUGAGAAGACUUCAUGGAACAAGUUGGACUUUAAUUGCUGGAAAUGAAAUGGAGGACUCGGCUUUGAAUUGAAGAGCCGGUUUGGCCUUCCUGUUCCCUUGACCUAUGAUGUGCCACGAUGCUUGGAAGAUUCACGGUCGAUGGGAUGAAGGAACCGUGGAUGACCAUUGGGAAGAAACAGGGGAGACGCUUGGAGAUGAUGAUCGUUUGGAAGCUCCUCACGGCCGCUGGCUCGAACGGAUGGAAUGUGGCGACGGUUGGGAAGCUUUGAAGAUGUUGGAAAAUCACUUGCUUCAGCCCGUUGACGUGGAUACAUGGGAAUUUUAGGUUAGGAACUGUUGAGUUGCCUCAUCACGGACACUGGAGAAUUUGUUGAGCUCGGGCUGACAGGCGUUGGGCUGAAAACCAGCAUUAUUGAAUCUCUUGAAUUACUUGCACUCAGACAAAAAUAAAACAUUAAUUAAUUAAUUUUAUUAAUAAAGAUUAACUAUAAUACUAAUUAAGAUAAUA
rnacentral:lncRNA from 1 species